rnacentral:rRNA from 1 species
UACGGGGGGGUAAGCGUUGUUCGGAAUUACUGGGCGUAAAGGGCUCGUAGGCGGCCAACUAAGUCGGACGUGAAAUCCCCAGGCUCAACCUGGGAACUGCGUCCGAUACUGGAUGGCUUGAAUCCGGGAGAGGGAUGCAGAAUUCCAGGUGUAGCGGUGAAAUGCGUAGAUAUCUGGAGGAAUACCGGUGGCGAAGGCGGCAUCCUGGACCGGCAUUGACGCUGAGGAGCGAAAGCCAGGGGAGCAAACGGGG